CUUGGGUCGCGCGCAUGCGCACAGACUUGACCUGCUGCAGCGUACUCGAAAUGUAGCUUCCGCGGCGACCGAGACCGGAAGCUCGGGCUACACUGAGCAAGCGAGUCUGAGAAGGAGAGGCUUCCCGGCCACAAUGAUGUCUCCUCCAACGUGGAGCCAGGACGCUCUGCCUUGGGGAACACUGGCGCGAGGACUGGACCUCAGGGUAGUGUGGCCAAACCCCUACCCGCUCCGGAGAACCUCCGGCCCCGCCAGCGCGGCCGGCACACCCGCCUCUGUCCGACGGUGACCCGGAUGGAGUCUCACUCUGUUGCCCAGGCCGGAAUGCCAUGGCUUGAUCUCAGCUCACUGCAGCUUCCACCUCCCAAGUCUAGCGAUUCCCCUGCCUCAUCCUCCUGAGUAUCUGGGACUACAGGCACACCACCACACCCAGCUAAUUUUUGUAUUUUUAAUAGAGGUGGGGUUUCACUAUCUUGUCCAGGCUAGUCUGAAACUCCUAACCUUGUGAUCCACCCACCUCAACCUCCCAAAGUGCUGGGAUUACAGGCGUGAGCCACCAUGCCCUGCCCAUUUUAACUAUUUGUAAGUGUACAAGCUGGAGUGCAAUGGCACGAUCUCGGCUCACCGCAACCUCUGCCUCCUGGGUUCAAGCAACUCUCCUGCCUCAGCCUCCCGAGUAGCUGAAAUUACAGGCAGCUCCGUGAACGCGAUGGACCAGCUAGGUACAGACGCCUCACCAAACCCACCCAGGACGUUUACACUUGCCAGUAACUCUCCUGCUAUCACCAAUUCUGAUGAAUAUGAUGGAUAUGACGGAGUUUCCCUCUUGUUGCCCAGGCUGAAGUGCAAUGACGUGAUGACGUGAUCUUGGCUCACCACAACCUCCACCGUUCAAGCGAUUAUCCUGCCUCAGCCUCCCGAGUAGCUGGGAUUACAGGCAUCUGUCACCAUGCCUGACUAAUUUUUGUAUUUUUAGUAGAGACGGGGUUUCACUAUGUUGGCCAGGCUGGUCUCGAACACCUGACCUCCAGUGAUCCUCCAGCCUCUGCCUCCCAAAGUGCUGUGGGAAUCUAGGCAUGAGCCACCGCACCCGGAUGACAGAGGGACUUUAAGCACAGAGAGGUUUAACAUUCCAUUUCAAGCUGUUUAUUUGCUGUGAGCAAACUCAUUUUGCCUCCCCAAGUCCUAGGAGAAGACAGCUCAGACAGACCAGCCCCAGGGACCUGAACAUGGGCUGCUCAAGGAUACAUUCCUUUGUGUCUCUGGGCACAGAAAGACCAAGCAUUCACAGCCAAAGGUGACAGUGAGAUCGUGAAACCAGGGAGUAUGCAGAAAUCCUGGGUACAGGGCCCCUUGGGGAACAGGGGCAUAGAAUGAGGCAAUCCUGGGUUCUGGCCAUGUUGGAUUACACAUCCCCUUAUCAUAGAGCCACUCUGAGUUAGGGCUUCUCUCACUUGCAGCCAAGAACAUUCAACUGACACCCCCAUUUUGGAACCCCAAGCUUUCAUGCCUCACUACGCCUUUCAUGCCAUCCCUCUGCACAGUAAUUUCUGGUUAUUUUGUUUUGUUUUGUUUUGACUUGUUUUGUUAGAGGUGGAGUCUCACUCUGUCGCCUAGGCUGGAGUGCAGUGGUGCGAUCUGAGCUCACUGCAACCUCCGUCUCCCAGGUUCAAGCGAUCCUCCCACUUCAGCCUCCCAAGUAGCUGAGACUACAGGUGCACACCACGAUGCUAGGCUGAUUUUUGUAUUUUUAGUAGAGAUGGGGUUUCACCAUGUUGGCCAGGCUGGUCUCAAACUCCUGACCUCAGGUGAUCCGCCCACCUCAGCCUCCCAAAGUACUGGAAUUACAGGCGCACCUGGCCCUGCACCUGGCCCUGCACCUGGCCCUGCACAGUAACUUCUGCUGUUCUUGGACACUCCCACCUCGGAGUUUUUGCAUUGGCUGUUUCAUCUGCCUGAAAUCCUCUUCUUCAAGAUCCCCACCCGGUUCUCAGCUCAAACACUUCCUUCUCCAGGAAGCUCUCCCUGCCCAUGCAAUGUGGAUGGGUUCCCCACGUCUGUACCCAUCAUGUCACCCUGUUGUGGUUUCUCCAUUUCACUCCUCAAAGCCAGUGGUGUGUCUGCUGGCUUCUUGUCUAUCCUUCAUCAGCCCACGGGAGACAUCUAGGUCUGUGUCACCCACAGCUGUGUCCCCAGCACCCAGCACUGAGCAUGGGAAGGACUCAGGAGGGAAGCUCAGAUCCUCCAUCUCAUGCUGGCCACAUGUACCUUCAAGGAGAGCUUCCGGUAGCCUUCUGCUACGUCCCAAAUAGCCACAGUCCUAUCAAACCCUCCAGAAAUGAGAAAAGAGCCUGCAACACAAAAUGAAAGGGUGGAGAUGGGGGUCAUCUUUCCAAGCCAAGUCAGCCCAAAGCCGGCUGAGGAUGCCUUGGCAAGGCACCACCUCAGCUCACUCUGACUACACCGAAACCCUUCUUGGGGCAGCUCCACAACCCCAAGCCAAUUACAGCUGAUUCUCAUCAUUCACAGUAGUUAUGUUCAAUGGCAGGGGUCCCAAACCCUGGGCCACAGACUGGUACCAAUCUGUGACCUGUUGGGAACCGGACCACACAGUAGGCGGUGAGCGGCAGGCAAGCAAGCCAAAGCUUCGUCUAUAUUUACAGCUGCUCCCCAUCACUCAUCUUACCACCUGAGCUCCGCCUCCUGUCAGAUCAGCAGCUGCAUACGAUUCUUAUAGGAGCGCAACCCUAUUGUGAACUGUGCAUGCAGGGGAUCUGGGUUGCAUACUCUUUAUGAGAAUCCAAAGCCUGAUGAUCUGUCACUGUCUCCUGUCAAACCCAGAUGGGACUGUGUAGUUGCAGGGAAACAAGUUCAGGGCUCCCAAUGAUUCUACAGUAUGGUGAGUUGUAUAAUUAUUUCACUAUAUAGUACAGUGUAAUAAUAAUAAAAAUAAAGGGCAUGCUUGGAUCAUCCCAAAAUCAUCCCCCACACCUCCGUUUGUGGAAAAGUUGUCUUCCAUGAAAUUGGCCCCUGGUCCCAAAAAGGUUGGGGACCUCUGUUCUAUAAAGUUGACGCAGACGUGGAAUUAGCGAAUACUGAACCAUUGCUCCCAGGGGAAAUACAGGGCCAGGUUCCUGUGAGCCUCAGCUCCCAACAUGCUCCUCAGCUGAUCAGUAUAUAACCUUGUUGUAUGUGUGUUUCUGUUUAAAGACAACUGAUUGCAUA